UGCAGUCGAGCGGAUGAAGGGAGCUUGCUCCUGGAUUCAGCGGCGGACGGGUGAGUAAUGCCUAGGAAUCUGCCUGGUAGUGGGGGAUAACGUCCGGAAACGGGCGCUAAUACCGCAUACGUCCUGAGGGAGAAAGUGGGGGAUCUUCGGACCUCACGCUAUCAGAUGAGCCUAGGUCGGAUUAGCUAGUUGGUGGGGUAACGGCCUACCAAGGCGACGAUCCGUAACUGGUCUGAGAGGAUGAUCAGUCACACUGGAACUGAGACACGGUCCAGACUCCUACGGGAGGCAGCAGUGGGGAAUAUUGGACAAUGGGCGAAAGCCUGAUCCAGCCAUGCCGCGUGUGUGAAGAAGGUCUUCGGAUUGUAAAGCACUUUAAGUUGGGAGGAAGGGCAGUAAGUUAAUACCUUGCUGUUUUGACGUUACCAACAGAAUAAGCACCGGCUAACUUCGUGCCAGCAGCCGCGGUAAUACGAAGGGUGCAAGCGUUAAUCGGAAUUACUGGGCGUAAAGCGCGCGUAGGUGGUUCAGCAAGUUGGAUGUGAAAUCCCCGGGCUCAACCUGGGAACUGCAUCCAAAACUACUGAGCUAGAGUACGGUAGAGGGUGGUGGAAUUUCCUGUGUAGCGGUGAAAUGCGUAGAUAUAGGAAGGAACACCAGUGGCGAAGGCGACCACCUGGACUGAUACUGACACUGAGGUGCGAAAGCGU
rnacentral:rRNA from 1 species